UGAUGUGCAGAUUGUUAGGCCGCUGCUUCCUGGAAGCGUAUGGCUUAACAGGAAGUGUUACUAAGGAGCAGCUGUUUACAUGUUGAAAUCUAUAGUGAUGUACUCAAAAUAUACAGAAUCAACGACACAAAACAAAAUCACCAGUGAUCCUGUUGCUAAGGCUUAAAGAAAUGGAUUUGAAGGCGUUUGGUAGUAUUCCUGUACAGCAGUGCUGCCCAAACAUGGUCCUGGAGAGCCCCUAUCCAGUAAGUUUUGUAGGUCACCCUAAAUCGCUAAUUUCUAAAGACUGGAAACAUAGGGAAGUUAUUGAUCAAUUAAGCAAAUAACUUGUUCAAUUAAGGGAACUCUGGUCAUUGGGCCAGUUUACAUGCUGAGAAAAUGUCAUGACUUGUUUACUGUCAUGACUUAUUUAAGGUGGUACGGUCUGGAUUACAAUUUAGUUAGUGUUGGUUUAUGUUUAGUUUAUGUUUGAAUACAAAUGUAAUACAUUAUACAAAAAUCAAAUUCAACAUGAAGUUUCAAAGCAGGAAUUGUUAAAUUAAACAAACCAAAACGAUCUAAAAUUAUAAUUCAGCCGUACCACCUUCAAUAAGUCAUGACAGUAGACAGAUAAGUCAUGACAUUUUCCCAGCAUGUAAUCCAGGCCAUUGAGGGCUGAAAAGGGUAGUUCAUUUUUUUGUACCAAAUGAUCUCUAAAUGACUUCAUUUAAUAAACCACCUUCUUAAUUGAUCACAGUGAAAUUGUUCCAGGUGUUAAGAAAUUGAUGAUUAAAGGUUACCUAUAAAACCUGCUGGAUAGGGGCUCUCCAGGACCGGGGCUCUCCAGGACCGGGGCUCUCCAGGACCGGGUUUGGGCAGCACUGCUGUACAGUAUACCUUUUCCAGAAACUGGAAUCCUCACUUGCAGAAGUCUCUUCAUAACAGUCGGUUCACACUGUAGAGUUAACAGCAACCAUGUUAACAACCCCACAACAAAACUGCAGGUGCCUUUCUAAGCUAAAACUACCUUUGUGGAAUGUAAAGAAACUGGACGGAUUUC